AGAGUUUGAUCAUGGCUCAGAACGAACGCUGGCGGCAGGCUUAACACAUGCAAGUCGAACGCCCCGCAAGGGGAGUGGCAGACGGGUGAGUAACACGUGGGAACCUUCCCUAUAGUACGGAAUAGCCCAGGGAAACUUGGAGUAAUACCGUAUACGCCCGAAAGGGGAAAGAAUUUCGCUAUAGGAUGGGCCCGCGUAGGAUUAGCUAGUUGGUGAGGUAAUGGCUCACCAAGGCGACGAUCCUUAGCUGGUUUGAGAGAACGACCAGCCACACUGGGACUGAGACACGGCCCAGACUCCUACGGGAGGCAGCAGUGGGGAAUAUUGGACAAUGGGCGCAAGCCUGAUCCAGCCAUGCCGCGUGAGUGAUGAAGGCCUUAGGGUUGUAAAGCUCUUUUGCCGGGGACGAUAAUGACGGUACCCGGAGAAUAAGUCCCGGCUAACUUCGUGCCAGCAGCCGCGGUAAUACGAAGGGGACUAGCGUUGUUCGGAAUCGCUGGGCGUAAAGCGCACGUAGGCGGAUUUGUAAGUCAGGGGUGAAAUCCCGGGGCUCAACCUCGGAACUGCCUUUGAUACUGCGAAUCUUGAGUCCGAUAGAGGUGGGUGGAAUUCCCAGUGUAGAGGUGAAAUUCGUAGAUAUUAGGAAGAACACCGGUGGCGAAGCGGCCCNNCUGGAUCGGUACUGACGCUGAGGUCGAAAGGUGGGGAGCAAACAGGAUUAGAUACCCUAGUAGUCC
rnacentral:rRNA from 1 species